rnacentral:rRNA from 1 species
CAGUCGCCACGGUAAUACGGAGGGUGCAAGCGUUAAUCGGAAUUACUGGGCGUAAAGCGCACGCAGGCGGUCUGUCAAGUCGGAUGUGAAAUCCCCGGGCUCAACCUGGGAACUGCAUUCGAAACUGGCAGGCUAGAGUCUUGUAGAGGGGGGUAGAAUUCCAGGUGUAGCGGUGAAAUGCGUAGAGAUCUGGAGGAAUACCGGUGGCGAAGGCGGCCCCCUGGACAAAGACUGACGCUCAGGUGCGAAAGCAUGGGGAGCAAACAGGAUUAGAUACCCCUGUAGUCCCUGUCUCUUAUAC